UAAGUAUAUAAAGAAACUAUUAUGGAAUUUAUGCCAUGUAUCAAAGAGAAAUAUUUAUAUCCAUAGGUAAUAAACUCCUAUAUUUUUAACUCUGGGGCCUAUUUCAUUAGCCCAAGCACAAAGGGACUGAUUGAAACCCUGGGUUAAUAACCUUAUUUCAGGCUGCGCUAUUUAUAAAUAUGCUAAAGCUCUUUAUUUUGAAGUUUAUUUAAGAAUUGUAAACUUACUAUUUACUAUAAAAUAAUUAUGAAAAUUGUCUUGCUGGGCCUCCAGUAACGCACAAAUUUUCAUAUCUUAGAAAUUAAGGGAGCUGCUAUCUCUCAGAUUGUUUGCUUAUUGCUUUAUAAAGUCGCAAAGUAAACUGUGGGCAAAGCAGAAUAUUGGGGGUAACUUCCUAUAAGUUACAUAAGCUCUAAGAGAAAUCUAAUCUCUAAACGAAGUGAAUUGAAAUAUCUUAGUAACUUCAGGAAAAUAAAUCAAAAGAGAUUCUAUGAAUAACGUGAGUGAAAAUAGAGUAGCCUAUAAAGUAGAACGGUACAAAAACUGUUUAAAUAAUGGGGAACCUUCCUCAAAGGCUAAAUAUGAUACAUGAGCGAUAGUGAAAAGUACCAUGAGGGAACUUAAACGAAAAUAGUAGUUUUAUAAGCAGUUCGAUAAAAAGAACGUACCUUUUGCAUAAGGGGUCACCAAGUUAACGUUAGAUGCGAGCAUAUGCGUAGUUAAACCGGACGUUAAAAUAACGAAACAGUGUCUAAGUUAGACCCGAAGCACGGUGAUUUUACCAUAGUCAGGAUUAUAAAAGUCCGAACGGGUGAUUGUAGCAUAAAUCUCCGAAGAACUGUGGUAGGUGUAGUGAAAGACAACACUGACUGUGAUAGCUGGUAUUCUGCGAAACCUAUAAUAGUAGGCAAUUUAAGUAAAUAUCUUAGCAGGUACAUAAUUUAAUCUCAGACAAGAUGUGUAAACGUUUUAUUUUGUACAAAUUGGGGGAUCAUGAAGAUUUUAUCAGUGAGUAUGUAGACUCGGAAUGGCAAAGAUAUAUCUUGAAUUAUCAGACAUAGAAUGAUAAGGUUGAAAUGUCAAAAGGGAAACAGCCCUGAACAAGAGUUAAGGUGCUCCUAAAUUAUUAGUUAAGUGAAAUUAAGAAGGUUUUAAUUCAAGUCGGCAAGGAGAUAGGCUUAGAAGCAGCCAUAAUUUUAUGACCUCGUAAUAGAGCGCUUGUUAAGCUAUAAAAGCAUCGAAAAUUUAACGGAUCUAAACAAUAUACCGAAACCUUGUAAAAUGUUAGUAGAUAGGGCGUUUGGGGUAGCAGAACGUUGAGUAAAUAAUGGAUUUUAUUUUUUUUAAAUAGAAUUAUAAUAAUUUAACUCAAGUGAGAAUGGUGACAUGAGUAACUAAAAGAAAAUUUUCCGCCUUAAGCUUAUGGAUAUAAUUAAGUAACGGCCUCUAAGUUUAUAUUAUCUAAAGAUUUAAACGAUGAGAAAAUCUUUUUUACUAAGGACAACAUUUUAGUCUAAAAUGUGCUGGAAAAAUAGUAAAUAUAUUUGAUAUCUAAUAACAAAAUAUAUAUGUUAUCUAAGAACAAAUGAACAAAACCGUACCUAGAAUCUGAAAAAAGUAAGCUAGUAGAGAAUACGAAGGCGUAAAUGAGCUAACAAUCAUAAGGAACUCGGCAAAUUGACUACCGUAACUUCGGAAUAAGGAGGGCUCAAUUCUUGAUUAAUAUCAAGUAAAAAGGAAGAAGCAUAAAAUGAUGUUGUACGACUGUUUAAUUAAAACACAGCACUUUGCUGAAAGAUAAAAAAAUCUAAGUAUAAAGUGUGAAAUCUGCCCGGUGCCGGCUUUGGUUAACAGAGAUAAUUAAAUAUACUAUUAUUUGACGUCGACGGAAACCCCGGUUAAAGGCGGCCUUAACGUGAGGGUCCUAAGGUAGCGAAAUGCCUUGGCCGUUAAAUGCGGUCUUGCAUGAAUGGUGUAACGAUACAACAGCUGUCUCUAUGAUUGACUCAGUGAAAUUGGAAUAGCUGUGCAGAUACAGCUUACCUCUAGUUAGACGAGAGACCCUAUGCAGCUUUACUGUCACUAAUUAUAGAGUAUGUUAGAGAAUUCCCAGAUUAUAAGGUAAUUGACAAUGUGACUAUGUGAAUCCUUUAUUUAUCUUUCAUAUGAAUGAAUUGGUUUAGGAUUAUAAAGAAGUUAAUAUUAAUCUGGCUUUACUGAGUCCUUUUUUUUUAGCUAGCCCCUAAUCCCCGAAGGGGAUACGGGACCAGGAAGCUAAAAAAAAAAACAAAAAGAUUAUAGAAACAAUAUAAUUUAUAAUAGUAAAUCAACCUAAUUCAGUUUACUAUUUUUAAUAGUAAGUGACCUUUGGUAAGGAACUAUCGCUAGGAGACAGUUUAUGUGGGGCACAGACCCUGUAAAGAGUAAACAGGAGUGUCUAAUAAUUUAUAAUUAUUUUGUUUGCUAUUUUGAGUAGUUUAACUAUUUUUAAUCAUAUAUAAUUAUUUAUAUUUGCUGGGGGCAUGCAUGCUUCUUUGGGGUACAGAAGUAUGCAGCCCAUUAUACACUAAAUAUAUUUAAGUUUAAUUUAGGUAGGAUUUUAACUAUGUAGAAAUUAGAGAUAAUUGAAAAUAUUAUGUAAAUUUUAAGGCUGUGCUAUCUUUUUAUAAAUAUGCUAAAGCUUAUAUUAAAGUUUUCUAAUAUUUUAGAGCUAUUUUUUUGUCUUGCUAUUGCUGCAUGUUUCUACGAAGUAAGCAGCGCUAUUUUUUUUUAAUAGCGUGCAUGUUUCACUAUUUUUUACUUAUUUUAUUAUUUUGGCUGUUUCUACGCAGUGUUUCACACUGCUAGAAACAGCCAGAAAUAACUAAAAUAAUAAAAAAAUGAACAGCAGAAAAAUGCUGCUAGAAAAAAGGAAUAGUUAUGUUUUGAAUAUCUAAAAAGCUCAACGGCUAAAUCUUGCCUUACUGUUUGAUUAUCUACAAAUCUUACAGUUGCGUAAGCAGGGCAUAGGAUCACAAGAUGCAAUAAGGAUAGAUCUUGGAUUAUUGGAAAAGCUACGCUAGGGAAGAACAGGCUAAUUUGCGCAAGAGUGUACAAAAUGAGUGCGCGGUUUGGCACCUCGAUGUCGGCUUAACUUAUCCUCAUGGAUGCAGGAACUAUGUAGGGUGCGACUGUUCGUCGAUUAAAAAGUUACAUGAGCUGGGUAAAGUAUUUAGCCCAGAAAUUAAUUGGCCUGCGAAGCAGGCUAAUUGUUAAUAAAAUCGGGUAAAUUUCAAGAAUAACUAAUGAUAGUAAACUUGAAGCGAAAUUUAUAUUAAUAGUAUAAAAACGUUCAACGACUAUUAGGUGAGUUUCACACUAGAAUUUAGUGUUGAUAGUAAUAAUCCUUUUAAGAACACCCGACGUAUAGUAAAAAUUAUAGUAUUUAGCAAAGUAAAAUAAUAAUGUAUCCUUAUCCUUAAGGAUCAAUAACAAGAUAAUUUAGUAAAAUAUGAAUAAAACAACUUUAAUAAGAUAUUUAAAUUCAGUUAUGAAAAACGAAUCUUUAACUGAAAUAGAAAAAGAUAUAAGAACUAAAAAUGAACUACCCAUAUAUUUAAAUGAGGUUAUGAUAGGAUUAAUGUUGAGUGAUGGAUCUUUAGAAAGAUCUUCAUCUACAAGCGGAGUUCGUCUUUCCAUAUGUUUUAGUAAGAAGGAUGAAGAAUAUUUAAAGUUUAUAUAUGACUUAUAUAAACCUUAUAUAAAUACAGAACCUGCUUAUAUUAAAGUUUAUAAUAAAAAGACAGACUCCUAUAACGAGGUAUUAAAAUUUAAAACAAUAAGUUUACCUCAAUUAAUCUAUUAUUAUGAGUUAUUUUAUAAAGGUAAAAAAAUAGUUCCAGGUAAUAUAGAAAAACUAAUGACACCUGUAGUAUUAGCCCAUCUUAUAAUGGGUGAUGGUAAUUUAAAACUCCCUGAUAAAAUUAUUCGUAGAGCUUUAGCUAUUUUUCGGGGUGCUGACGAAGUCAGCACGCUUAUAUUUUUUAAUUAUUUCUACGAAGACUUCGUAGAAAUAAAUAAAAAAAAAUAGCAAGCCUCAAAUAGUUUUAUUAAACAGGAUGUAGAAUUAUUAGCUUCAGGUAUAACAAAUAAAUUCGAUAUAAAAACUAAAGUAGUUCAUGAUAGAAAUAAUCAAUAUAUUAUAACUAUUAGUAAAAGUGAAUUAGAGAAGGUUAAAAAUCUUAUUAAAGAUCAUAUGUAUCCUUCUAUGUUCUAUAAAAUCGAUUUAGAUAGAAAUAUUACCCUGAGCAGGAAGAGUUUUGAUUAUAAUAAUAUACAUUUGUUCAAUAAAUCUGCUAUUUAUUAUGGAAGUAUAUUAAGUAAUAAGUAAUAUAUAAUAAGUUAAAUACUUUUAAUACUAUAAUGGUACUAUACGAUGACAUAGUCUGAACCAUUUAGGAAUAAAUGGAAAAAAGAAAUUUUUGAUAACAUAUAGUAAAUACGUCGUGAGACAGUAUGGUUUCUAUCUUCUAGAGGGAAUUAGAAUAAAAUAAGAACAAACUUUUGUACGCAAGGAACAAGAAGAGUUUAACUCAUAAGGUUAAAAUAUGGUUACUAACCUAUGGUUUACCUGUUGUUUAUGUGCCUAAAUAUUAAAUAUAUAUAUGCUUUUGUAUAUAUAUAUCUUCUGUAUUAUUAUACAUAGGGAUGUUUCUUUUACUAAGACAAAUGUAUAGCAUAAGCACGGCAGGAACGCUAAGUUAGUUAAAGAUAAGUGCUGAAAGCAUAUAGGCACGAAACUUAUCUUAAGAUAUUUCUUAAAUAUACGUAAUAUACUAUUACGAAAUUUAUAGGCUUUAUCCGUACGAAUCUUGAGAUUUUAAAGAAUAAAGUACUAAUUUAAUAAUUCACUAUUUAUAAAUAUAUCU
rnacentral:rRNA from 1 species